rnacentral:misc_RNA from 1 species
AACGCACAUUGCGCCCUUUGGCAUUCCGAAGGGCAUGCCCGUUCGAGCGUCAUUACACCCCUCAAGCCUGGCUUGGUAUUGGGCGACGGCAGUCUGCCGCGCCUCGAAGUGAUCGGCUGGACGGUUUGAAUCUCAGCGUUGUGGUUUCAUCAAUUCGCUGGCGAGGAUGACCGGACGCGCCGUUAAACCUCAAUCACAGGUUGACCUCGGAUCGGGUAGGGAUACCCGCUGAACUUAA